GCUUGCUUCGGCAAGCGCGUACGCUAAAUUGGAUACGAUACAGAGAAGAUUAGCAUGGCCCCUGAGCAAGGAAGGUUUGGAGUCUUCACACACCCCCGUUCUCUGU